rnacentral:misc_RNA from 1 species
GAGAGGAUGGGGCUGGUUUGGCAUCUUGGUAAUCAUUAUCUUAUGCCUUUUUGGAGGGUAUAUGUUGGUUGGUGCAGUUUAUCGAUACUUCUUCCUUGGAGUUCGUGGUUUAGAUAUGAUUCCAAACUUGGAUUUUUGGGUCAGAUUGCCUCAGAGAACACAGAGUUGUUGUGCAUCUCUGGUGCGGAAAUUUAGAGGACCAACAGAAGGUUAUCGAUGCUCUUAUUCUCCAGUCAAUUUUUAAGCAAUUACAAUUCAAUUCCACAUUUAGUAGUGGUGAAUCAGUUUUGAGACAUCUGGGCUGCACUAUUAAACUCUUGCACAAUCAAGUGCUUCGGUUUCCUGAUAGUCUAGGUUGGUCAUCUCAUUGAAGUAGACUUUGACAAUCCUUUGCAGAAAUGCCCUGCCGUUCAGUUGACAUGUAUGCCACCAUAUCCCAAUUUUCAUUUUUCCCAUGAUUUCUUUCUUCAGCAUUAUUCAUUUGAUUGUAAUCUCUCUAUUAGCUUAGUGUUUGUUUUU